GUCCCCGUAGCUCAGCUGGAUAGAGCGUCCCCCUCCUAAGGGGAAGGCCGCAGGUUCGACUCCUGCCGGGGACGCCA
rnacentral:tRNA from 1 species